rnacentral:rRNA from 1 species
AUGCAAGUCGAACGCAGUAGCAAUACUGAGUGGCAAACGGGUGAGUAUAAUGUGGGAAUCUGCCUUUUGGUUUGGAAUAACACGGGGAAACUUGUGCUAAUACCGAAUAAGCCUUUACGGGGAAAGUUUUAACGCCGAAAGAUGAGCCCGCACUUGAUUAGCUAGUUGGUAAGGUAAAAGCUUACCAAGGCAACGAUCAAUAGCUGUUCUUAGAGGAAGACCAGCCACAUUGGGACUGAGACACGGCCCAGACUCCUACGGGAGGCAGCAGUGGGGAAUCUUGCACAAUGGGGGAAACCCUGAUGCAGCGAUGCCGCGUGAGUGAAGAAGGCCCUUGGGUUGUAAAACUCUUUCGUCGGGGAAGAAAAUGACUGUACCCGAAUAAGAAGGUCCGGCUAACUUCGUGCCAGCAGCCGCGGUAAUACGAAGGGACCUAGCGUAGUUCGGAAUUACUGGGCUUAAAGAGCUCGUAGGUGGUUAAAAAAGUUGAUGGUGAAAUCCCAAGGCUUAACCUUGGAACUGCCAUCAAAACUUUUUAGCUAGAGUGUGAUAGAGGUAAGUGGAAUUUCUAGUGUA